rnacentral:rRNA from 1 species
AUGAACGCUGGCGGCGUGCCUAAUACCUGCCAGUCGCGCGAACAGACGAGGAGCUUGCUCCUCUGACGUUAGCGGCGGACGGGUGAGUAACACGUGGAUAACCUACCUAUAAGACUGGGAUAACUUCGGGAAACCGGAGCUAAUACCGGAUAAUAUAUUGAACCGCCUGGUUCAAUAGUGAAAGACGGUUUUGCUGUCACUUAUAGAUGGAUCCGCGCCGCAUUAGCUAGUUGGUAAGGUAACGGCUUACCAAGGCAACGAUGCGUAGCCGACCUGAGAGGGUGAUCGGCCACACUGGAACUGAGACACGGUCCAGACUCCUACGGGAGGCAGCAGUAGGGAAUCUUCCGCAAUGGGCGAAAGCUUGACGGAGCAACGCCGCGUGAGUGAUGAAGGUCUUCGGAUCGUAAAACUCUGUUAUUAGGGAAGAACAAAUGUGUAAGUAACUAUGCACGUCUUGACGGUACCUAAUCAGAAAGCCACGGCUAACUACGUG